rnacentral:rRNA from 1 species
UUAGAGUUUGAUCCUGGCUCAGAUUGAACGCUGGCGGCAGGCCUAACACAUGCAAGUCGAGCGGUAACAGGGGUAGCUUGCUACCCGCUGACGAGCGGCGGACGGGUGAGUAAUGCAUAGGAAUCUGCCCGAUAGUGGGGGAUAACCUGGGGAAACCCAGGCUAAUACCGCAUACGUCCUACGGGAGAAAGGGGGCUCCGGCUCCCGCUAUUGGAUGAGCCUAUGUCGGAUUAGCUAGUUGGUGAGGUAAAGGCUCACCAAGGCGACGAUCCGUAGCUGGUCUGAGAGGAUGAUCAGCCACAUCGGGACUGAGACACGGCCCGAACUCCUACGGGAGGCAGCAGUGGGGAAUAUUGGACAAUGGGCGAAAGCCUGAUCCAGCCAUGCCGCGUGUGUGAAGAAGGCCCUCGGGUUGUAAAGCACUUUCAGCGAGGAAGAACGCCUAGUGGUUAAUACCCAUUAGGAAAGACAUCACUCGCAGAAGAAGCACCGGCUAACUACGUGCCAGCAGCCGCGGA